rnacentral:rRNA from 1 species
CAGUUCGGAUCGGAGUCUGNAACCCGACUCCGUGAAGCUGGAUUCGCUAGUAAUCGCGCAUCAGCCAUGGCGCGGUGAAUACGUUCCCGGGCCUUGUACACACCGCCCGUCAAGCCAUGGGAGCCGGGGGUGCUUGAAGUGCGUCGCCGCAAGGCGCGCCCUAGAGCAAAACCGGUGACUGGGGCUAAGUCGUAACAAGGUACC